GCCCCUGUAGCUCAGAUGGCUAGAGCACCCGUCUUGUAAACGGGAGGUCGUCGGUUCGAUCCCGACCGGGGGCUCCA
rnacentral:tRNA from 1 species